CGGCCGUUCGUAAUUUUUAAAAUUAAAUUUUAUUGAUCGACAUAGCUAGGACUAUCAGAUCGAAAUGGUCUUUUAUGAUCACACUCUAACAAUUAUUAUUUAGAUAAUAAAUGAUGAAAAUAAAUUUUAAAUUUCAAAAUUAUAUCAUAUUUAAAAAAAAUAUGAAAAAAAAUUAUAUUCAUCCUAUAUAGCAGUGGUUGCACUAAACCACUGCUAUAAUCAGUUAUAGC
rnacentral:lncRNA from 1 species